rnacentral:rRNA from 1 species
GACGAAGGGGGCUAGCGUUGUUCGGAAUUACUGGGCGUAAAGCGCGUGUAGGCGGUUGCCAUAGUCCAGGUGUGGAAAGGCCUUGAGCUUAACUCAAGAAAUGCACUUGAUACUGGGCGACUAGAGGACCGGAGAGGAUAGUGGAAUUCCCAGUGUAGUGGUGAAAUACGUAGAGAUUGGGAAGAACACCAGUGGCGAAGGCGGCUAUCUGGACGGUUUCGUGACGCUAAGACGCGAAAGCGUGGGGAGCAAACAGG